rnacentral:rRNA from 1 species
GAGUUUGAUCGUGGCUCAGAUUGAACGCUGGCGGCAUGCCUUACACAUGCAAGUCGAACGGCAGCACGGGAGCUUGCUCCUGGUGGCGAGUGGCGAACGGGUGAGUAAUGCAUCGGAACGUAUCCUGGAGUGGGGGAUAACGUAGCGAAAGUUACGCUAAUACCGCAUAUUCUGUGAGCAGGAAAGCGGGGGACCUUCGGGCCUCGCGCUCUUGGAGCGGCCGAUGUCGGAUUAGCUAGUUGGUGAGGUAAAGGCUCACCAAGGCGACGAUCCGUAGCAGGUCUGAGAGGAUGAUCUGCCACACUGGAACUGAGACACGGUCCAGACUCCUACGGGAGGCAGCAGUGGGAAUUUUGGACAAUGGGGGCAACCCGUGAUCCAGCCAUGCCGCGUGAGUGAAGAAGGCCUUCGGUUGUAAG